UUUGGCGCUACAGUUCACCGUCUCCUAAAUUACUGUUACCCUCCUUGCGCGCCGCACUCUCGCGAGUCGAAAUUCCCACCACCACUGCAGCGCGGAGCCUCCUCAUCGCGGCGGCGGCACCGGCAGACGCUCCGCCGCGGCCGCAUACUCUCCACUCGCCUCUACCUCGACGACAUUCCCAUAGGCAAGGUCGGUCACCCCAACCCCCCUCCUCCUCGUCCUUCCCCUUCGCAACUCUGGCGAGCUCAUCCAUUCGCGGCCGUGGGUCGAAGUCGUAACAACGGUGCCGUCAGCGCAGGAUCGCGUUCAACGGGAUCGAGGAGCAGUGGGUUAUCUGGUUCACUAGUUCAUCGCACGUUUUUUCCCACAAAAUAGCGAUGCCUUGUCUCCGGCCCGUGUAACGUGCCGUGCCGUGCAGGCAGCCCUUUGAUUCGUCGAAAUGGUGCCGCGUGCGGAACUUCCUGGUGGACGCGGGGGUCCUCCAGAACGACCGGAUUGUCGAGCUGCUGGAAGCUUCGGAGGAUGAUCUGUUUGUGGUGCGUAAGGAGCUGUUGUUCGCUUGUUUUGCAGAGAUUUAUGCUGUAUGAGGCGGAAUAAAUUUGUGGUUCCAGCAGUGGCUCUACUCCCUAAUUUGCUUGUUCAGCAAAAGCUUCUUUAUCCAUUUCGGAAGCAGGUGGGUAGCUCCGUUUUAUCUGCAAAAUUUGCAGUAGAAAGGGGAUGGGCUAUCAAUACUGGUGGAGGCUUUCAGCCUUUCACCACUGUUCGGCGGAAGAAGGGGGUGCAUAUGCUGAUAUUUCUCUGUGCAUCCAUUUUGCUUUCGUCCGUUAAAUAUAUCAAGGUAGGGUAACUACCACGGCCAGUUCAAUUGUACUUGACAUCUACAGCAUUUCUUCUGUAAACUGUAUGUGCUAAGUAGGCCAACCCAUCAUUAUACCUCUUUUUCCUGGAAAGGUUGUAAUGCUAACAGGCAGUUCCUUUAGCAUUAUAAUUUAUAAUUACUCUGCUAAAAGUAAUAAUGAGUGAUGGAAACUAUUGAUAUGAGAUAGUAUUUCAGUUCCGUGAGCCACUUAUCUAGCAGAACAUUUGCAGAAUAAUGAUCACUGAUGAAAUACCCACCAAGGAAAUGGUUAUGAAAAAGACUUCGGCAAUGAUGGAAGGAUUUACACUUUGGACAUGUACAACUAUGGAAUAUAUCCUUUUGCAAGUAUUUAAGCCUGAAAUUGUUCCUACAUCUGCCGAACAUGAUCCCUCCUUGCCAAGGCUGUCCAUUAACUGAUUAUAAGUAUAAAACAAACAGAUGGGUACUGCUCUUUGAUAUUUAGCAUUUUAGCUAAUUGCUGGUCCCUUUUCUUCGGUGGAAUUAUUGUUUCCAUUCUUACUGAUAGAGCAUAUAUUUUGUUCUGAGAAAUAUAAAGGUAUAUCAUGCAUUUUUUUGUGUGGCGCAAAGACACCUGGUUCUGCAUCCUGCACUGCACUGGAACUCAAUGCUCGUACUUCAUAAGAAUAGUAGUUACAACUGUCUAAAUCGUAAUACUUUUGGCUGUGUGAAUAUGAUUUUGAUAGCUCUGUAUCUCUCAAGUCACUGUCUUCUGCAUUGCAAUUACUGCCAAUCUAAAGUUGAGAUGUUCAUUUAUAAUAAACCGGGAAAGGCUAUAUUAUUUCCCUAUACUUUUACAGCGCAUCUGCUCACAAUCUGAACUACAAAAUUGGGUAUUGUACUUCGUACACCCUAAACUUUUAAUAUCAGUGCAAAUAAUCGCCUGUGCCAUAUUUGGAGAUGGUUUCACUACGAGGGCUAUGCCGUGUGUGUGUUUGUUUUUUUGGGGUUACUUGCAUAGGUAUUAAAAGUUCAGGGUGCAGUAUACCUGAUUUGGUAGUUCAGGAAGUUAAGGUGUUAAGCAGAUGCACCGUUGAACUUCAGAGGGCAAUGUAGGCCUUUUAUCUAUAGAUUUUGCUUUGCCAUUCUUUCAUGUCUAAUCCUGGUACAUUUUCUUUUCUCUUUUUGAGUAUAAAGUGACAUGGUUUUGUUUCAGGAUUAUGUGGCUAAACAGUAGUGCAGUACAUUGAUCAAAAGGUCGAUAUAAGUUGCACUUUUUAUCCUGUUAUCCAUUAUAAAUUUCUGCAUCUGUUUUAAUGUGGAGUUAUAACUUACACUACGCCUGUUCGCAUUUAUAGAGUAGGACAAAUGACGUUUUGUAUGACUCUUUGUGUUAAGGACCUUGAUUGCAGGACAUAAUAGUUAAGGUGGCAUAUUUCUGUAUGGUUCAUAUUACAACUUACUGUAAAAUGGAGGCUGGAGCUAUAUGUAUGAUAUCAUAAUGCACUAAUGUUAUUAAUAAUAUCCCC